AACGAACGCUGGCGGCAGGCUUAACACAUGCAAGUCGAGCGCCCCGCAAGGGGAGCGGCAGACGGGUGAGUAACACGUGGGAAUCUACCCAUCCCUACGGAACAACUCCGGGAAACUGGAGCUAAUACUGUAUACGCCCUUUGGGGGAAAGAUUUAUCGGGGAUGGAUGAGCCCGCGUUGGAUUAGCUAGUUGGUGGGGUAAAGGCCUACCAAGGCGACGAUCCAUAGCUGGUCUGAGAGGAUGAUCAGCCACAUUGGGACUGAGACACGGCCCAAACUCCUACGGGAGGCAGCAGUGGGGAAUAUUGGACAAUGGGCGCAAGCCUGAUCCAGCCAUGCCGCGUGAAUGAUGUAGGCCUUAGGGUUGUAAAGUUCUUUCACCGAUGAAGAUAAUGACGGUAGUCGGAGAAGAAGCCCCGGCUAACUUCGUGCCAGCCGCCGCGGUAA
rnacentral:rRNA from 1 species